ACGUCUGUUAUUUCUUUUGCAGAAUGCCUUGUUUCACAAAAAAGAACACUGUUCAGAUAUUUUCUCUGGACUGUCAAUUUCUGCAUUUCAUAAUCAUGUGAUACCUGUGUUGGAGCCCUCCCAAAAACCUCCCCUGUAAGAUUUCAAAGUUAAGGAGAUCAUUCAAAUGACAGAGGUUUUGGUCCAUGUUGGUUUGUCUCAACAGUUAAUCUUUUGGAAAGCAGUGUUGGAGAAAAUAUCAGCAACAUGUGAAGAC